rnacentral:rRNA from 1 species
UACGAGUGCCUCAAGCGUUAUCCGGAAUCAUUGGGCGUAAAGGAUGUGUAGGUGGCCGCAUUAGUCUUUUGUUAAAUUUCCCGGCUUAACUGGGAACCUGCAGAAGAAACGGUGCGGCUAGAGGAUGCAAGGGGUCUGUGGAACUCAUAGUGUAGCGGUGAAAUGCGUUGAUAUUAUGGGGAACACCAAAAGCGAAGGCAACAGACUGGGGCACUCCUGACACUGAAACAUGAAAGCGUGGGUAGCGAAUGGG